rnacentral:ncRNA from 2 species
UGCGCACAAAAUGCAGCAAGUCUAAGCAUUCGCUUUAGGGAAGUUGGUGAAAGUCCAAUACUGCCCCCGCAACGGUAAAAAUGAAAAGCAUAUCAAUGAAAUCUUUUUAAAGAUUGACACCACUGCACGACCGUGUGGGAAGGUGGAUAUGCAAAUAUCCUAGAUAUUACAUUUAAGUCCGGAAACCUGCUUGUUGCGCCUUUAACUC